CAGCAGCCGCGGGAAUACGUAGGGUGCGAGCGUUAAUCGGAAUUACUGGGCGUAAAGCGUGCGCAGGCGGUUGUGCAAGACAGAUGUGAAAUCCCCGAGCUUAACUUGGGAACUGCAUUUGUGACUGCACGGCUAGAGUGCGGCAGAGGGGGAUGGAAUUCCGCGUGUAGCAGUGAAAUGCGUAGAUAUGCGGAGGAACACCGAUGGCGAAGGCAAUCCCCUGGGCCUGCACUGACGCUCAUGCACGAAAGCGUGGGGAGCAAACAGGAUUAGAUACCCGCGUAGUCCCUGUCUCUUAUAC
rnacentral:rRNA from 1 species